rnacentral:tRNA from 3 species
GUUAAGGUGGCAGAAUACGGAUAUGCAAAAGAUCUAAGAUCUUUCCCAUGGAGGCUCAAAUCCUCCCCUUAACU